AACGAACGCUGGCGGCGUGCCUAACACAUGCAAGUCGAACGAGAAAGGGACUUCGGUCCUGAGUAAAGUGGCGCACGGGUGAGUAACACGUAGGUAACCUACCUCUAAGUUUGGGAUAACCUGUCGAAAGAUGAGCUAAUACUGAAUAAGACCACAGUUUCCUCGGAAGCAGAGGUCAAAGGUAGCCUCUAUUUAUAAGCUAUCACUUAGAGAUGGGCCUGCGUACCAUUAGCUAGUUGGUGAGGUAACGGCUCACCAAGGCAAAGAUGGUUAGCUGGUCUGAGAGGAUGAUCAGCCACACUGGAACUGAGAUACGGUCCAGACUCCUACGGGAGGCAGCAGUGGGGAAUAUUGCGCAAUGGGCGAAAGCCUGACGCAGCAACGCCGCGUGAGUGAUGAA
rnacentral:rRNA from 1 species